rnacentral:tRNA from 1 species
GUCAGGAUGGCCGAGCGGUCUAAGGCGCUACUUCAGGUCGUAGUCUACUCUGUAGGCGUGGGUUCGAAUCCCACUUCUGACA